rnacentral:lncRNA from 1 species
UCCAACAAUUAAACCAUUUGAGAAUUUUUUUUGGAAACAAAAAUAAGUUUAUUAGAUGGUAAUAGGCUUAAUCAUCAUCCUGCCAUCAAACCUUUAAUAAUUUUGUUCACUAGAUAAUAACCUAUCAAAGAAGCCAUCAUGCAGAAAUUUCUUUCUGAAUAUUUAAUGGAACAAAAUCUGCCACCCAUGAUUCUCUCCAGAUCUAUAUUAAGAUGGUUCAUAUGCCCCUGUGGUCUUUUGUUGCUCAUAUUCUUGGCUCUGGUACAGAUUCUUCAGAGAAUCGAACAACAGUUUCCUGAUGUUAUUAAUUUUCCUCCUAUCCCAAUGCAUGCAGAAACCAAAGCAACGUAGGAAGGCAUCAAGUUGCCACUCACCUCUCACACUAAAAAAGGCUUCUUCAUUGCAGAAUUUCAUGAGGUCGCAGACAUGAUCUCAGACUCUGGAAUAACGAUGCACUCUCACCCAAAGUAGAAUAGAAUAGCGUAGCAGCACUUAACCAAAGCCAUCAUUGCUGGCUCAGAGUUUUCGAGUGUCUGUUAAUUAAACAUGUUACGUCAAUUCGCUCGUCGCCUGAUCGCAGAGAAUGAGUGCCUGCAAAAGAAAAUCCACGCUGAUCGGAGAUGGCUCCGGCGGAGACCCUCCGACGGUCAAGUCAGAGAGAAGACUAGGCAACAGUAAAAAAAGAGACAAGAAGCUCUACGAGGAGAGGGGGAGAGAGAGAAGGAGACCCUGAGCCUUUUUUUUCGGAGGAGACCUCUAGCACUGUUGCCUUCCCCGAUUUAUAGUAGGAGGUGGUAUGGCCUCACCGUCGGUGAUGUAGACAACUGGAGAGUUGUCAAAUCGUCGGAGGUUGCCACGUCGUUAACAAAGUUGACAGGUCCUAGGAAUUAAUUCUCGUCCUUAGCAGGAUAGCACCCCAGAUUUUCUGACAGGAUAAUACCUCCUGACGUUCGUACGGCGUUUACUUGAUGGGACUGCAGCCCAUGCCGCUCAUCCGGNNNNNNNNNNNNNNNNNNNNGUCGUUAACAAAGUUGACAGGUCCUAGGAAUUAAUUCUCGUCCUUAGCAGGAUAGCACCCCAGAUUUUCUGACAGGAUAAUACCUCCUGACGUUCGUACGGCGUUUACUUGAUGGGACUGCAGCCCAUGCCGCUCAUCCGGCAUCUAAGAGGGCCUGUAGAGGUGGGACGUCAGUCAUCCAAUCUGAUGGUGAAUCGUCGGCGUCCCAUCCGAUAAGAAAUCGGUGGCGGAAGGUCGGCCCUCAGGUGAUCGGAGGCGACGUCGGGUCGUUAGACCGAUCCGCUCCGAUCGGAACACAAUCGGUAGACGCUGUCGGUGUCGCCCGC